rnacentral:lncRNA from 1 species
UGGAUUUGGAUGAAAGGUGUAGAGUAAUUAUUAAUUAAAAAUCAAUCACAACUAGAAAAAUAUAAGUAGACAUCUAUAUGAGUAUUAUGUCGAAGGAUUAAAAAAUGAGAGAGUAAUAGGUAAACAAUCUUAACUAUUAAUUAGAAGUUUAAUUUCUAAAUAAUUUUCAAAUACAAUAACUUUUAAAAGCAUUAACCCGGAG